UUUCCAUAACAUUUUCCUUAAAUCUAGCGAUGACUCUCUAAAGAUCAAUGCAUAAAAAUCGUUUUUUAUGUAUUCGGUAAAAAGUAUCUUCCUCAUGAUAGUCCUAACAUUACCUAAUUGGGGUGAUUUGAUUCCGGCGAAGACAACCUGCAAAAGCUUGAUGUGUUUUUAGAUGAAAAGUUGUCCUUCAAGGAACACAUUAUUAUUCAGAAGAGCUUAGGAUGCACUUAAAAUAAUUUAUGCACAUAAAGAAUACCUUGCCAGGAAUUUUUGCAGUUCUGAGUAUAGAUAGUCCUUGUUUGAAUUAAAUUGACCAAAAAACGGUUCAGAAAGUCUAAAAUAGAUGUUUAAGUCACCUGUAACCUUCCAGUCUCACUACUAGAAGUUCCCUCCUCGAAAUAUUUGAAUAUCCUCCUGCAGAGCCUGGGUGUAAGGCCAGGAUCAUGGGGAAAUCCCAUCAUGGUAUGAGUCUUUCCUGAAGACGUCUGUCCAUACGCCAAGACGCAGGAGUGGUUACGAUUUUUCAGCGAGGUCCCCACAAUAUCUUCUAUGGUUUGGAAUAACUAGGAAAAUUCAUUAAAAAAUAUUAAAUUUUU